GAUGAAGAACGCAGCGAAAUGCGAUAAGUAAUGUGAAUUGCAGAAUUCAGUGAAUCAUCGAAUCUUUGAACGCACAUUGCGCCCCCUGGUAUUCCGGGGGGCAUGCCUCUUCGAGCGUCAUUUCACCACCCAAGCCUCGCUUGGUAUUGGGCAACGCGGUCCGCCGCGUGCCUCAAAUCGACCGGCUGGGUCUUCUGUCCCCUAAGCGUUGUGGAAACUAUUCGCUAAAGGGUGUUCGGGAGGCUACGCCGUAAAACAACCCCAUUUCUAAGGUUGACCUCGGAUCAGGUAGGGAUACCCGCUGAACUUAAGCAUAUCAAUAAGCGGAGGA
rnacentral:misc_RNA from 1 species